CCUGGCUUAGGAUGAACGCUAGCGACAGGCCUAACACAUGCAAGUCGAGGGGCAGCACAAGGAGCAAUCUGAGGUGGCGACCGGCGCACGGGUGAGUAGCACGUAUGCAACCUGCCUGUAAGCGGGGAAUAACCCGUUGAAAGACGGACUAAUACCGCAUAAUACUAAAUUACUGCAUGGUAAUUUAUUUAAACAUUUAUGGCUUACAGAUGGGCAUGCGCAUGAUUAGCUAGUUGGAGAGGUAACGGCUCCCCAAGGCAACGAUCAUUAGGGGUUCUGAGAGGAAGGUCCCCCACACUGGUACUGAGACACGGACCAGACUCCUACGGGAGGCAGCAGUGAGGAAUAUUGGUCAAUGGACGAGAGUCUGAACCAGCCAAGUCGCGUGCAGGAAGAAUUGUCCUAUGGAUUGUAAACUGCUUUUGCAGGGGAAUAAAGUGCAUCACGUGUGAUGUUUUGUAUGUACUCUGCGAAUAAGGAUCGGCUAACUCCGUGCCAGCCGCGGC
rnacentral:rRNA from 1 species